AUCGCUUCUCGGCCUUUUGGCUAAGAUCAAGUGUAGUAUCUGAACCCAUCAAUUAAAAAGCCCUU
ensembl:snRNA U2 U2 spliceosomal RNA